GGCCUAACACAUGCAAGUCGAGCGAGACCUUCGGGUCUAGCGGCGGACGGGUGAGUAACGCGUGGGAAACGUGCCCUUUGGUACGGAAUAGCCCCGGGAAACUGGGAGUAAUACCGUAUAAGCUCUUCGGAGGAAAGAUUUAUCGCCAAAGGAUCGGCCCGCGUUGGAUUAGGUAGUUGGUGGGGUAAUGGCCUACCAAGCCGACGAUCCAUAGCUGGUUUGAGAGGAUGAUCAGCCACACUGGGACUGAGACACGGCCCAGACUCCUACGGGAGGCAGCAGUGGGGAAUCUUAGACAAUGGGCGCAAGCCUGAUCUAGCCAUGCCGCGUGAGCGAUGAAGGCCUUAGGGUUGUAAAGCUCUUUCAGUGGGGAAGAUAAUGACUGUACCCACAGAAGAAGCCCCGGCUAACUCCGUG
rnacentral:rRNA from 1 species